UACAGAGGGUGCAAGCGUUGUUCGGAAUUAUUGGGCGUAAAGCGCGUGUAGGCGGCUUUGCAAGUCGGGUGUGAAAGCCCUCAGCUCAACCGAGGAACUGCGUCCGAUACUGCGGUGCUUGAGGAUCAGAGGGGUGCAUGGAAUUUCCGGUGGAGCGGUGAAAUGCGUUGAUAUCGGAAGGAACUCCGGCGGCGAAAGGCGAUGCACUGGCUGAUUUCUGACGCUGAGGUGCGAAAGCCAGGGGAGCAAACGGGG
rnacentral:rRNA from 1 species